ensembl:lncRNA
CACUACUUUUGCCAUUUUUUUUUAUACACUGAAGAAAAAUAUUAACCUUACAUUUUUACUGAGUUACCAUUCAUUUAAGGAAAUCAGUCAAUUGAAAUAAAUUCAUUAGGCCCUAAUCUAUGGAUUUCACAUGACUGGGCAGGGUUGCAGUCAUGGUUGGUAAUAGGCUGGCAUGGUUACACGUGGUCUGCGGUUGAGGCCAGUUGGAAGUACUGCCAAAUUCUAUAAAACAAUGUUGGAGGCGGCUUAUGGUAGAGUAAUGAACAUUCAAUUCUCCGGUGGACAUUCCUCCAGUCAGCAUGCCAAUUGCACGCUCCCUCAAAACUUGGUGUUGUGUGACAAAACUGCACAUUUUAGUUGCCUUUCAUUAUAUUGACAGGUGUGUGCCUUUCCAAAACCAUGUCCAAUCAAUUGAAUUUACCACAGGUGGACUCCAAGUUGUAGAAACAUUUCAAGGAUGUUAAAUGGAAACAGGAUGCACCUGAGCACAAUUUGAGUCCCAUAGCAAAGAGUGAAUACCUAUGUGUAUAAAGGUCUUUGUGUUUUCUUUUAAUACAUUUGCAACAAUGUCUAAACCUGUUUUUGCUUUGUCAUUGUGUAACAAAAAAAAUCUAAUGAAUGUAAUCCAUUUUAGAAUAAGGCUAACGUAACAAAAUGUCAAGAGGUCUGAACUUUCACAAGGCACUGAGAUAUAUAUAUCAUUUUUUCAGUCUGAUUUUUCAGGGGGUGCUGUAGCACCCCCUACUUCCUGUGGGUAUGAUUGCUGAUGCUAUGUAUUGGCCAUUGAGAGACUGAAGUCAUGGUUGGCCAUAUAGAGCCCCAGAGUAUGAGUUAUAAUACCCAUAAAACCUAGCAGGGAAAUGGUUCCAAUCGUUUUUCCGCCAUAGAUUUCUCCCAUGGUGGAUUUUUAGAAACACGUCAAAUAAGGGCUGUGUUUUGUGCAGGCUUACCCUGGCGUGACGUUUUGAUAACGGUGUAAAUCUCUCUGACCGACCACUAGGUUUUAUGGGUAUUAUGACUCAUACUGUGGUACUCUAUUGGCUCUCCCCAGUAGGAGCAGUCCUCCAUAGGAAUACAUGGAAUUCUACAGUGUUUCAAGGACAAUUGCAUGUAUUUAAGUAUUUUUUGUUUUAAUGGGGACAGUAACAUUCAUCUCAAAAGUAUACUUCAUUUUGUUUUACACAUAAUAUACAUGUAAAAGUACGCAUUAAGGUGUCUGUAAUAGAAUAAACAUGGCUAAAACUAAUGUCGACAUUAAUAGAAAUGCAAUAUUUUGGUGGGGGAGUGACAAGAUGGAGGCAUGGUGGCUUCAACAUAGCGUCCCAUAUGUCAUCCUGUGUGCAGAAAAUCAUUGAUUGCCUGUAUGUGAGGUGUAGCAGGGUCACGUCAGAGCAGGUAUCAUCAUAUCUACCUGUAUGUGAGGUGUAGCAGGGUCACGUCAGAGCAGGUAUCAUCAUAUCUACCUGUAUGUGAGGUGUAGCUGGGUCACGUCAGAGCAGGUAUCAUCAUAUCUACCUGUAUGUGAGGUGUAGCAGGGUCACGUCAGAGCAGGUAUCAUCAUAUCUACCUGUAUGUGAGGUGUAGCUGGG